AUUGAACGCUGGCGGCGUGCCUAACACAUGCAAGUCGAGCGGUAACAGGUGUAGCAAUACAUGCUGACGAGCGGCGGACGGGUGAGUAACGCUUGGGAAUCUGCCUGUUAGUGGGGGACAACCCGGGGAAACUCGGGCUAAUACCGCAUACGCACUACGGUGGAAAGCCGGGGACCGCAAGGCCUGGCGCUAACAGAUGAGCCCAAGUCGGAUUAGCUAGUUGGUAGGGUAACGGCCACCAAGGCGACGAUCCGUAACUGGUCUGAGAGGACGACCAGUCACACCGGAACUGAGACACGGUCCGGACUCCUACGGGAGGCAGCAGUGGGGAAUAUUGGACAAUGGGCGAAAGCCUGAUCCAGCGACGCCGCGUGGGUGAAGAAGGCCUGCGGGUUGUAAGGCCCUUUCGGUGGGGGAGGAAAGCCUCGAGUUAACACCUCGGGUCUUGACGUAACCCAUUAAAGAAGCACCGGCUAACUCUGUGCCAGCAGCCG
rnacentral:rRNA from 1 species